AAAGUUAUCAAGAGCCCUCCAUCAAACAAAAACCCAUCCUCUCCUCCAUCUUCACCCCAAACCCUAACCCCCAAAUCUGGUCCCCAUACCCACUGCCCUUUAACUCCACGGCACUGCAAACCACCUCCACAUCCUCACCAUCCUCCUCCGAUGACACCGGUUCCGGCGACAGCCCCAACUCACCGUUUGCGAACUCUUCGUCACCCUCGGCGUCCUCGACUACGUCGCCCAAAACUCCUCGUCUAAUUGUGAAGCUACCAGGCCAACUACGUGUUUGCCCGGGUGUUUCUAUUCUAUUUCUAAGCCGCUCGUUGCUUCACUCACCGUCAUACCACCGCGGCCGCCAGAGCAAGAGGGAGGGAUCCAUAGAUGGAGACAAACGGGAUCGAGGUGAUGGCCAUGAACUUCGCCUACGAUGCCCAGCCUCAACUCUUCUCCCACUUCACCCUCAACAUCGCACCCUGAUCGCGCUGUCUCCUCAUUGGCGCCAAUGGAUCUGGAAAGACGACGUUGUUGAAGAUCUUGGCUGGGAAAGAUUUCUUUUUCAGUUUCUUAAAAUUGGGAUUUUCUUUUUGAAAGUUUCUCUAAUCCUGAUUGGUGUAUUUUCUUCGUGUUUUAUCUGAAUUUUUAGAUGUUGUCUUGUGCUUGUUGAAAGUUAUAGAUCUUGUCGUCAAGUGAAGGUUUUUUUUUUUUUGAGUUUUUUGCAAAUAUGUGAGUCCAUUUUCUUACAUGUUAAAUUUCAAAGAUUUUGCCAUGUUUUUUCUCAUUGAAUUCUAAGUCAAAUUUGUUCUGCUCAUUUACAGUCAUUUACAAUCAUCAAUUGCGUCAGGAUCUCUUAUCAAAUGGACAAAAGGCUUUAAAAUCGAUGGCACGGUCAGUUAUUAUAUUUAUGUUUCACACGAUACUAUUUGAUCUAAUGUCUUUAAAAUCGACGACGUUGUUGAAGAUCUGGAGCAAGACCAUUGGCUAAGCUGGAGAUGUUCCACUCCAAGGAGAUUUCUCUGCUGAACACAUGAUUUUUGGAGUGACAUUGAAGAAGCAGCUAAGCACUGUCCAAUUCCGAAAAGAGCUCGUAUUUCUUUAAGAUUAAGUAUAGGGUUUAUGAUGAUGUAUAGAGUUAUGUUAGAUUGGACUUUAUUAUUGUAAUAGUGCUAUGAUUGUAAUAACAUUUUGCAUAUUUAACGAAUAUUGUAAUUUAUAUUUUGAUGAAAUUAAA